GAGACACUAGUAAAAAUUCAUUACGCCGCCUUGUCAGGGCUGAUUUGCGGGUGCGAGUCCCGCGUGUUUCAAA
rnacentral:tRNA from 1 species